AUCUGGCAAACAGAGGCUAGAGCAUUUAGAUGGUAACUCAUUGGUGUGUGUAUGUUUGCUUGCAUUGACCUGAAAAUAAUUCUCUUAUUCUGUUUUCCUAGUUAAUGAACCUCUAGACAAUUUAUUACAGGACUGGCUCCCGGUGUUGUCUUUGGUGUAAGAUCCAGGGUACGGAUUGAUCUGGGGAGCUAGCUGAAGGAUCCAGGGGGAGUCUGAAGUCUGACAUCACCAGACACUGCUGCCAACUCUUGCGAUUUUUAUCGUGAGUCUCGUGAUGUUUUCCAUAAAGCUCCAGCUCCUGGAGGCAUGUGAUCAGGGGGUUAAUUCUUACUUGGCCUUGAGGCAGCCAAGGAGGACUACUAUCCUGGAACAAGCAAUGCAAUAUUUCCUCUGGGCUUGGGAGUAAUUAUUGAUGGAAAUAAUUAUCCUCCAAUCCCAUCAAAGGCUGGCUUAAUUUCAACCAAACAGUCUCAUCUGAUGAACACUGGAUAUCCUCUAAAGCACUAAACUGGCUGGUAAUCCCUUUGGAUCAAGCUCUGGAGAUGUCAAUUUAAUUUUUGUUUUUUUGUGGUCGUCUGUUAGUCUUUCAUCUCUGUGAUGUAAAAGCAGGUGCAAUUUAACAUGAAAGCUUAAUCUUACCGGAGAGGAUUAUCACAAGACUUCUCCCCCUCUCCUCACAAACAAAAUCCAGGAGAAAACACCACACAGCCAACCAUCAGAGAUCGUGCUAUGGUCACACAGCCUUUCGAGGGGAAAUGGGGAAGGAGUAGAGCCAAGUGACUGGGGCCUUGGUGGAAUAGCGUGGAUCGCUCAUAACAAGGAGAAGAUGGCAUGGCUAUCGCUCCUCACAAUGCCAAGGCACGCACUGGGCAUUUUCAGGUACGUCAGUCAGGAUUCCAUGUGGAUGUUCGCACCAGGUACCGUGCAGCCAGAGGUUUCAGAUAGGAAAGGAGUGCUCCAGGAGUUGGGUACAAAGCAACAGCGAGCGCCGAUGGAUUUGAACCACCCCUCCCUCCCUGCAGUUAUUAUGCUUUGUAUUACAGAUGUGCUAGGUGCCAUUCAGACACAUAGCAAGAGACAACCCCUGUCCUGGGGAGCUUGCAGGCUAAGAGACAAGCUGGACAAAAGGUGGGAGG